UACGUGUGNNNNNNNNNNNNNNNNNNNNNNNGUUGUACUGAGGAUGACACAGAAUGUUAGGGUUGCUAAUGUUGUACUGAGGAUGAUACAGAAUGUUAGGGUUGCUAACGUGGUACUGAGGAUGAUACAGAAUGUUAGGGUUGCUACUGUUGUACUGUGGACACCACAGAAUGUUAGCAUUUGUGAUACCUUGACAAUCAAAUGCAUUGUCUCUGUUGGCAGAUCUGACUAUACCCAUCCACAUCCCCUUCUCUGUGUAUGGUGAGAAAAUGCGGGAGAGCAACAGCAUCAAGGUUUCGGCUGUGGUCACAGACAAGGACAAGAGUGGGGCAGUGUACAUCACAGAGAAAGACUUUGUGUCACAGAGCCCUUCGCUCACCAUCAAAGUGAGUACUGCAUAUUCCCAAACAUUGUCAUUUCGCAGUCUGUCAGAUCCUUAAGCCACUCCAAAAACCCACUUAGAACAGCUCUUUCUCUGAGUGAUUCUUUGGGGUCAUUAGUGAACAAGCCCCGAUUGUCUUUACAUACUCUUCGGUUACCAUUUUAAUUUAUAGGUGGCAAACACACUAGUAGCGAGAAUAGCAAUUUGCAAGGAUAUUAAUGGUUCCCCUGUGAAUAAACGUGUUGUGAAGACGAAAAUCUAAAGUGUUAGACUGUCAUCUGAACAGUUGAUCUAUUAAAUACAACGCCAAUAUCAGUAACAGCCAUUAAACUGGAGAUGGGGUUUAUUCAGUGUGAUAGUUCCAAUAUAAUAUACUAUUCAGCAAUGCUUUUAUUCGAAUGUGUGUUCUCUUUUAGGCCAUUGGAUCUGAAUUGCAGUAUAGUGACAUGGCGGCAGAGGUUGUGUUUGAGAACCCUCUAUCCGAAAGUCUAAGAGACUGCUUCAUAACAGUGACCGGCAGUGGCUUGCUGACUGAAACAAUGGAAGCCAGAACGCCUUUGAUAAAACAAGGGCAACGACUAUGUGUGAAGAUUCCCUUCACCCCAUACAGACCCGGUCCUAAGAAGCUAGUGGCCGGCUUCAACUGUGAUCAAUUCAGGGACAUUAAGGCAAGCUGCAAUGUGUACAUCAAACCGUCACCAGUGUUGCCCCCCCACUGCCGUAGAUAGUAAAGCCCUCGUGAGAAUUACUCUAAUAACUCAAAUAAGUUCAUCAAUUUAUGCCAUAUUUUUCUGUUAUAUCCUAUAUCAGCCUUUCUUAAAGUAGGGGUCGCGAGCCUGACCUGUUAAUGGUGGGUCGUGACGUGUCAGAGUAAAUGUAUCAAUAUUUCAUAUAUGUCACGUGUCAAUACUUCACAGCUUUUUUUUCUCAACAUGUGUUUUUUGGGGGGCUGAAAUGCCUUCUGGAACAUGUGAACUUUCAUGUACCUUAAUAACAAACAUGUAUGCCAUCCGUAAAUAUGAAUAAAAUUGUGAAAUUACCAGUCUAGUUGGUUUAGCCACUGAAAAAGGCAGGAACCUUCCCGCUAGUCAUGAUUGGCUGAGAUAAUGUAAUGGCUGGAUAUGCCGAGACAUGAGUUCGAAUUGGUCUGCCAUGUAGCACGCUUCUGUCUAUAACAUGAGCUGGUCAGUAUGUGUUGCUUUCCACUUUCUAGAGGAACGAGUUUUGAAAUCAGUGGAAUGCCCGGUGGAAUUAGAGUAUGCACGCCUAAUUUUUCAGUUUUUGACUUGUUAAAAAAGUUUGAAAUAUCCAAUAAAUGUCGUUCCACUUCAUGAUUGUGUCCCACUUGUUGUUGAUUCUUCACAAACAAAUACAAUUUUAUAUAUUUAUGUUUGAAGCCUGAAAUGUGGCAAAAGGUCGCAAAGUUCAAGGGGGCCGAAUAAUUGCUCUUAAUUGCUCCAAUUGCUCUUAAAUGCUAGUAAAACUAAAUGCAUGCUCUUCAACCGAUCGCUGCCUGCACCCGCCCACCCGACUAGCAUCACUA
rnacentral:lncRNA from 13 species